ACGUAGGGUCCGAGCGUUAUCCGGAAUCAUUGGGCGUAAAGAGCUCGUAGGCGGUUCAGCAAGUCGGCUGUGAAAGUUCGAGGCUCAACCUCGAAAUUGCAGUCGAUACUGCUGUGACUUGAGUCCGGUAGAGGAGAAUGGAAUUCCCGGUGUAGCGGUGAAAUGCGCAGAUAUCGGGAGGAACACCAGUAGCGAAGGCGGUUCUCUGGGCCGGCACUGACGCUGAGGAGCGAAAGCGUGGGGAGCAAACAGG
rnacentral:rRNA from 1 species